CUGGCGCCCUGAGCCCCUACGGCGAGACACUGUUCAGUUCUGGUGUUUCCUGCAACCAUGUCAACUCCCUUCUGGUCAGCGCCAACGAUCAGUUUGUGUUCGCAGAGCUCAGGUCAUCUGAAGGUCGUCAGGCAGAGGUCAAGGUCCCAACAACGGGUCUGAGCGUCAAUGAGUUUAAACUGCUGACCUUAGAGUACAACGACGGAGUUCUCUCAUUGUCUGUAAAAGGAAGCAAACAACAGUACAUCGCACAGACAUCAGCUCCAGCAUUGGCGUGUCUCUCCUGCGGCAUUGACAUUGGUGCAGGAGUUAUAAAGAACAGCUUCCGGGGUGAAGUUCAAAAGCUUGCAAUCCGAUCCUGCAGUUUGCCGAAGCUCUAUUAAAACGUGUUGAUUAUUGGGUCAUCGGAUGUAGCUAUUCAUAACAUUGUACUAAAACUUUUUCUGUUAGUUUCAAGAACAUGAACAUUUGACCAAUAGUUUGUCUGGUUCAUGUUGUAGACAUUCUCUGAAGUCUUGUGGUCUUUGUUAUGGACAUUCUCUCAGUUCUUGUAGUAAGUGCUAUGGACAUUCGCCUACGUCUUAUAGCCUAGUCUGUUCCUUAACUCUGAACUUGUUUACAUUUUAACGUAGCUAGAUUUGUAGCUGAAACAACAUUCAUGUCAAAAUAAGGAAACAAAUCAAAACAAAUUUUAUUAUAUCUUUUUUUUUGCUUAAAAUUCAGACAACUUAGAAGCUGAGAGACUCUUUAUCAUUUUUGUUUAUUAUACUUCAUUAUGUGUUUUAAUUCAGCUGUAUGUUAGUCUACAUAAUUGUUAAACAAUGUUUGAUUAGAGUAUUUAUGUUGAAUAUUUUUUUUUUUUUUGCCUUCAUGUAUAUCAUUUAUUUAGAUAUAGCUCACUGGCCUAUGUAAGUUUAUUUGAGAUAUUAUUACACAUUUCCUAUAAUGUUCAUUCGAUUGUCCUGAUUAGAGGGUUGGUUAUUUAUAUAAGAAUUAUUUUUUUUAAUUAUGUAUUUGUAUUUGAAAAAGAAGUAAAAAGUAAAAUAUUGU
rnacentral:sRNA from 1 species